UGGGGGAUAUUGCGGCAAUGGGGGAAACCCUGACGCAGCAACGCCGCGUGAAGGAAGAAGGCCCUCGGGUUGUAAACUUUUGUUGCAAGGGAAGAAAAAAUGACGGUACCUUGUGAGGAAGCCACGGCUAACUACGUGCCAGCAGCCGCGGUAAUACGUAGGUGGCAAGCGUUGUCCGGAUUUACUGGGUGUAAAGGGCGCGUAGGCGGGUUUGCAAGUCAGAUGUGAAAUACCGGGGCUUAACCCCGGGGCUGCAUUUGAAACUGCAGAUCUUGAGUGUCGGAGAGGAAAGCGGAAUUCCUAGUGUAGCGGUGAAAUGCGUAGAUAUUAGGAGGAACACCAGUGGCGAAGGCGGCUUUCUGGACGAUAACUGACGCUGAGGCGCGAAAGUGUGGGGAGCAAACAGGAUUAGAUACCCUGGUAGU
rnacentral:rRNA from 1 species